UCUCGAUAGCGUAAAAGUUAACUAAAAUCUGUAUGAAGUCGGAACGUUAUCUACAUUUGUCGCUAGGGGCGCUGUUCCAACUGCAUACAAAUUUGAGUUAACUUUUACGCUAUCGA
rnacentral:pre_miRNA from 9 species